CGCUAGCGACAGGCCUAACACAUGCAAGUCGAGGGGCAGCACAAGGAGCAAUCUGAGGUGGCGACCGGCGCACGGGUGAGUAACACGUAUGCAACCUGCCUGUAAGCGGGGAAUAACCCGUUGAAAGACGGACUAAUACCGCAUAAUACUAAAUUACUGCAUGGUAAUUUAUUUAAACAUUUAUGGCUUACAGAUGGGCAUGCGCAUGAUUAGCUAGUUGGAGAGGUAACGGCUCCCCAAGGCAACGAUCAUUAGGGGUUCUGAGAGGAAGGUCCCCCACACUGGUACUGAGACACGGACCAGACUCCUACGGGAGGCAGCAGUGAGGAAUAUUGGUCAAUGGACGAGAGUCUGAACCAGCCAAGUCGCGUGCAGGAAGAAUGUCCCUAUGGAUUGUAAACUGCUUUUGCAGGGGAAUAAAGUGCAUCACGUGUGAUGUUUUGUAUGUACUCUGCGAAUAAGGAUCGGCUAACUCCGUGCCAGCCGCUGC
rnacentral:rRNA from 1 species